rnacentral:rRNA from 1 species
AGCGAACGCUGGCGGCAGGCCUAACACAUGCAAGUCGAACGAACUCUUCGGAGUUAGUGGCGGACGGGUGAGUAACACGUGGGAACGUGCCUUUUGGUUCGGAAUAACUCAGGGAAACUUGUGCUAAUACCGAAUGUGCCCUUCGGGGAAGGAUUUAUCGCCAUUAGAGCGGCCCGCGUCUGAUUAGCUAGUUGGUGAGG